CAGUCGCCGCGGUAAUACGUAGGUGGCAAGCGUUGUCCGGAAUUAUUGGGCGUAAAGCGCGCGCAGGCGGAUAGGUCAGUCAGUCUUAAAAGUUCGGGGCUUAACCCCGUGAUGGGAUGGAAACUGCCAAUCUAGAGUAUCGGAGAGGAAAGUGGAAUUCCUAGUGUAGCGGUGAAAUGCGUAGAUAUUAGGAAGAACACCAGUGGCGAAGGCGACUUUCUGGACGAAAACUGACGCUGAGGCGCGAAAGCCAGGGGAGCGAACGGGAUUAGAUACCCCGGUAGUCCCUGUCUCUUAUACA
rnacentral:rRNA from 1 species